rnacentral:rRNA from 1 species
CACGGGGGGAGCAAACGUUGUUCGGAAUCACUGGGCUUAAAGGGCGCGUAGGCGGGUGCUCAAGUCCGGGGUGAAAUCCUCCAGCUCAACUGGAGAACUGCCUCGGAUACUGGGUGCCUCGAGGGUGGUAGGGGUAUGCGGAACUAUCGGUGGAGCGGUGAAAUGCGUUGAUAUCGAUAGGAACUCCGGUGGCGAAGGCGGCAUACUGGACCACAUCUGACGCUGAGGCGCGAAAGCCAGGGGAGCAAACGGG